UGGGGAAUCUUGCGCAAUGGGCGAAAGCCUGACGCAGCGACGCCGCGUGGGGGAUGAAGGCCUUCGGGUUGUAAACCUCUUUCGGCAGGGACGAAGUUGACGUGUACCUGCGGAAGAAGCGCCGGCUAACUACGUGCCAGCAGCCGCGGUAAUACGUAGGGCGCGAGCGUUGUCCGGAAUUAUUGGGCGUAAAGAGCUCGUAGGCGGUUUGUCGCGUCUGUCGUGAAAGCCCACGGCUUAACUGUGGGUCUGCGGUGGAUACGGGCAGACUAGAGGCAGGUAGGGGAGCAUGGAAUUCCCGGUGUAGCGGUGAAAUGCGCAGAUAUCGGGAGGAACACCGGUGGCGAAGGCGGUGCUCUGGGCCUGUUCUGACGCUGAGGAGCGAAAGCGUGGGGAGCGAACAGGAUUAGAUACC
rnacentral:rRNA from 1 species